UACGAAGGUCCCGAGCGUUGUUCGGAAUCACUGGGCGUAAAGGGAGCGUAGGCGGCGCGGUAAGUCAGAUGGUGAAAGCCCGGGGCUCAACCCCGGGAGGCGGGCGGAUACUGUCGGGCUAGAGUCCGGAAGAGGCGAGUGGAAUUCCUGGUGUAGCGGUGAAAUGCGCAGAUAUCAGGAGGAACACCAAUGGCGAAGGCAGCACUCUGGGACGUGACUGACGCUGAGACGCGAAAGCGUGGGGAGCAAACAGG
rnacentral:rRNA from 1 species